CGGUUAAAAAGCUCGUAGUUGGAUUUCGGAGUUGUUAUCUGAACCUUCUCGCCAUAAAAAAGUGGGGGGGGCUAAGGUAGCAGUAGUUUUCAUCAUAGUCCACCAGGAUACUCUCUUGGUGUGUACUGGGUGUUAACCUCCUUUUUUUCUGGUACUUGCUAUCCAGCAAUGGGUAGUUUUGUCCAGAUAGUUUACUUUGAAAAAAUUAGAGUGUUCAAAGCAGGCAUAAUUGGCAUCAUGAAUACAUUAGCAUGGGAUAAUAGAAUAUGACAUUGGUCUUAUUUUGUUGGUUUCUAAGGCCAAAGUAAUGAUUGAUAGGGAUAGUUGGGGCCGCUCGUAUUGAGUUGUCAGAGGUGAAAUUCUAGGAUUUACUCAAGACGAACUAAUGCGAAAGCAUUCGGCAAGGAUGUUUUCAUUAAUCAAGAACGAAAGUUGGG
rnacentral:rRNA from 1 species